UGAAAAACUAGGCAACGUUUUGCUGUUGGUGUCUUAUACAUAACGUAGACCGUAUGAAGGAGAGAAAUAGAUACAAAGAGGGAGAUAGUUAAGUAGUAUCAGCGUAGUGAGAGAGAGUGAGAGAAACAUUUUGAGAAUCCACCUGAGUCGGACUUGAGUUUGACGUCAUGCAAUGUACAAGCUUUCUCUAAUGAUGGAGGUGGAGUAUUGAGAGAAUGCUAGAUCUAUAACGUAGAGAAGUUAUAGAGACAAUUAAUCUGGUUGCAUUUCAUACUCUUGUCUCUUAAAAUUAUUUUUGUCUUUUCGUUUGUAACUAUACUAAUUUACGUUCAGCUUUCAACAGCUUCUUUUAAUUUCUAUCCUUUAUAUUUUGCUAUUGUAUAAACCAAUGUUUAGUAUCAUGUUUACUUUUUAUACUUGAAAGACCGUUUUAAAUAAAAACGAUAUGUUUAGUCAAUAUUUAGAAAUUUAACAUUAAUUUAGCACAGGUCCAGCAAGUGUUUUUAUGCAUUUCAAAGAAAAAAAUUUUUUUAAUCAAGUAAAUUGCCAAGAAAAUAUCUUGCUGUAAUAUAGUUCUUGGUAUAUUUAAGACAUAAAAUAACGUUGUGCUAAUACUUUUGUUUUAGCUUGUGACUUAAUUUCAUUGACAUUAACCUUGGUUCUUUUUCCUUCAUAUCUUCAGAUUCAAGUAGAUGUUAUUAAUACCAGGUGGAAUAGUAGAGUGAAUAAGCUAUUAGUCUAAAAUUUUGUUCUUUAUCCUGCAUUUUGUCUCUAGAUGGAGCAUUUGAUAAGUAUCAAUUUUGGUGAUUAGAUAGAGUGUGAUGAUAUUGUAUCUGUAUUUAUAGAAACCCUGUUUGUUUUUAUAGUUUAUGCUUUGUAGAUUUGGAUUAAAACAUGUAAUAGAUUAUUUCCUAUGUCUAUCAACUAAAAAUUCACUAAUUGUCAUACUAUUUAAGACUAGCCCAGUAUAGCCUUGACCUAAGGCAAUAAUAAAAAUUUAUUUAUUUGAAUAAACAUUUAUUACCUCUAGAUUGACAACACAAUCUCCAACAGGUAUUUUGUUAUCAGGACGAUUUUACCUGAUUUGAAUGUUUCUUUGAUUUACUAUAUCCAAAAACGAAAUCUAUUUUUUGUCAUCACUUCUAGAUUUCAAGAUACCAUCCCAUACACACAUAAUUUUCACAAUUUUUGUCAAAGUAUGUAAGUUAGUUAUUUUUUUUAAUCAUGCCGACUCAUAAGGGCCAAUUUUUCAACUUCAUGGCAUAUAAAUUCCCCACAUGGACAGGUCCGUCCAUUACAGGAUUGCUACUCAUUUUUGACAGCUAAGUGGACUGGAACAACAUGAAAUGAAGUGUUUUGCUCAAGAACACAAUGCGUUAUCCAUGAAUUGAUACCACAAUCUUAUGAUCAUGAGUCCAACACCCUAAUCACUAAGCCAUGCACCUCCACAAAGUUUGUUAAAGUUCUGUAUAAAAAUGGACCAUGCCUUCACUAUAUCUACAGCACCCUUCCCAAUGUAAGCAGUGAAAUGAUAAGAGCUGAAGUAUUUAAUGUCUCAAAUCAGAAAAUUGAUGAAAGGUGGCUACUCAGUAAAUUCAAUGAAUUGCAUUGAAGCAACAGCAUGGAAAUCAUUUCUAAUAGUUAUAAAUGACUUUCUGAGCAUCAAGAAAGCAGCUAACUAUACCGAAAUAGUCAAUAACAUGAUGGACAAUUUUCAAAAGUUGGGAGCAAAUAUGAGCAUAAAACUGCACUGUCUCCACAGUCACCUUGAUAAAUUCCUUGAAAAUCUUGGUAACCCAUCAGAACAUAAAAUCAAUGGAACAAAUGUAUCAAAGCCGAUGGGACUUAUCUAUGUUGCUGGAACUUGGCUCAUGGUCUUCUUGAGAUUCAGCACUCAAGAAAAUCAUCCAAAUGCAAAUUCAUGAGAAAUUAAACAUAAGCAAUGAUGUAAUUUCUCUGUAGAAAUUUUAGGGAAACAUUCAGGUUUUUGAAGAAAAACCAAUUUCUUUGUAUGUUAUGCCUAUUCCUCAUCAAUUGUUUUAUUGAAAAAAAAAAAUUCUAUGGAUCCAGUCUGUAUACUCUUUUUUACUUGUUUCAGUCAUUUGACUGCGGCGAUGCUGGAGCACCACCUUUAGUCGAGCAAAUCGACCCUAGUACUUAUUCUAUUGGUCUCUUUUACCGAACCGCUAAGUUACGGGGACGUAAACACACCAGCAUCAGUUGUCAAGCAAUGUUGGGGGGACAAACAUAUAUACGACGGGCUUCUUUCAGUUUCUGUCUUACCAAAUCCACUCACAAGUCUUUGGUUGGCCUGAGGCUAUAGUAAAAGACACUUGCCCAAGGUGCCACGCAAUGGGAAUGAACCCGGAACCAUGUGGUUGGUAAGGAAGCUACUUACCACACAGCCACUCCUGCGCCUAUAUCUUAAAAUUUUGAUGUGAUGGUAAUUAUCAUUUUCAGAUUCUGUGUAUCAAAAAACUUUUAAUUUAGGUUCAUAUUUAUUGACAACAGAGUAAAAAAAAUUGUUUGGUCUGUGUAAUUAUUAAUUUCAUGAUCAUUAAUAUUUAUUAUAUUUAGAGUUAUAGGAUACUGAUAUCUAUUUUUGCUUUAUGCUGCAAAAAAUAAAUAUUUUUACUAGCAUUUUAAAUGAUAGCAUAUAUGCAGUUUUUGAUAGUUUCCUAUUUUAAUUCUUUGUGUGUACCUAUGUAUGUAUACACACAAACCUUUUGGUUUCAACUGUGAAGGAAAAAAUUAAACCUCUGUCCUUUGCAUGCCUUCUGAAACUAACCAAUAAGACAAGCAAAGUUAAUGUUCUUAAAUAAUCUGCAAAUCUGCUACUGUAGAGAAAGGAAUUUCAAUGGGGGAAUAUUCUGGGGAUGAAAGGUCUGUGUGUAAUGAUUAGUGCAGGACUUUGUUGGUAGGAAUAGAUUGCUGAUGAGAGGAAGAGUGAUGAGUAAGUGAAGGUGGCAAGGAGUAAAAGCUGCUAUUGUUAGAGAAGAAAGGCAGAAAGAGGAGACAGUGCGUCAUUAGGCUAAAGUCUAGUAUGUUGGUGAAAAAUAUGUCGUAUGAGUUUGUUUUCACUAUCUUCAACCCUUUGCUGUUGAAACAUUUUAGAUUUAGAAUUAAAAGACUUUGUCUAAAUGCCUACUUGCAAAUGCAUGUAGCUUAUUACUGUAGCAGUUCUAAAACAAAAGCUAAUUCCAUCAAAAUAUACAUGUGACAAUUGAGUUGGAAAUAAUAUAUAUGGAGAAUUAAAAGAAUUGAUUGAUACUGAAAAUAUAACACUGUCUAUCAAUUCUUACAAUUGUAUUACUUGGAGUAGUUACUCACUAUCCCAAUUGCAUUCCACUUUCAACAAAAUCUCAUGGAAGCAGUUUCAUGCGUCUUCCUUGCAGGAAGACUCAUGAAACUGCAUGCAUUCUACCUUUGUGUUUGGAACACCAUGUGAUCCUUAUCCAUGCAAGUAUAUUUGAAAUUGUACAUACCUAAUUCGUAAUUUGCAAGAUUUUCAUUGAUGCAAGUAGAAAGAUGCAUUCAACCUGACUGCUAACUCUUAAACGAAGCUGUUUCUCCAACUCCUUCAGACAAAAAGUUUCAGAAAACAAAGAAUUACAGAAAACACAGAAAUGAAUUUAAAUCAAUCUAGUUAUAGUGGGAAAGAGAAGGGUCAUAUUGCUUUGUAAAUUAAAACAAUUUGGAGAGAUUUAUGAGUAGAUUUCACUGGCUGUUUUAAACAGAUUAUCCUUCAAGUUUUGAAAGGCUGGAAUGUAAAUAUAUGGGAGAUCCUUACUGCACUGAACAAAGUGGGGGGGUUUUUUUUUUUGGUGGUUUUUCUUUCUAUUAAAAUAAUUGUUUGAAUGGCAAAAAUGUACAUAAUAAAAUUUUGUAUAUAACAAAUAUUGUAUCAAUAAAGAUUUAAACAAUCA